rnacentral:rRNA from 1 species
CCUACGGGAGGCAGCAGUAGGGAAUAUUGCUCAAUGGGGGAAACCCUGAAGCAGCAACGCCGCGUGGAGGAUGAAGGUUUUAGGAUUGUAAACUCCUUUUGUUAGAGAAGAUUAUGACGGUAUCUAACGAAUAAGCACCGGCUAACUCCGUGCCAGCAGCCGCGGUAAUACGGAGGGUGCAAGCGUUACUCGGAAUCACUGGGCGUAAAGAGUGCGUAGGCGGGGUAAUAAGUCAGAUGUGAAAUCCUGUGGCUUAACUACAGAACUGCAUUUGAAACUGUUACUCUGGAGUGUGGGAGAGGGAGGUGGAAUUCAUGGUGUAGGGGUGAAAUCCGUAGAGAUCAAGAGGAAUACUCAUUGCGAAGGCGACCUGCUGGAACAUUACUGACGCUGAUGCACGAAAGCGUGGGGAGCAAACAGGAUUAGAUACCCCAGUAGUC